rnacentral:rRNA from 1 species
CGUAAUAAUAGAAACUAACCAGGAUUCCCUUAGUAACGGCGAGUGAACUGGGAUACCAACAAAGUACAUGUGCCUCGCGCGCAUGAUUUAGCCCGUCGAUACUAUCCUAGCAUAUUACCGGUCUCGGCCGGUAACUCAAUAUGCGGGAAUUGUAGCAUCGUAAUAAAAAUAAAGUAUAUACACGCACACACACCCACCGCGUACAUUCUUGUAAACACACAGCGUCUCCGCGUUGGAAAGCAAGUUUAUAUCCUCUUUGGAUAUGCCAUAGAGUGUGACAGCCACGUUUCACUCAUAACCGUACGCACACACACACGCCCCAUGCGCUAAUAUAUAUUUCUAUAACCUGAGUCGAGUUAUUU